GCUUCAUUUCUCCUUUGUCUGUCUGUCACUCCCUCCUCCCUUUAUUAGAUGGUAGUUUAAUACUACAAUUUUACUUAGCUACAAUUUUAUUGUGUUAUGCACAAAAUAAAACUGGCAUGGCAUGCUUCUAUAGGAUUCAGGUUUUGGCAGUCUAUUAUAAUGCACAAUAAGUCGCGUUUAAAGACCUAAAACUUCAUAUGAAUUUGCAUAAACACUAGCAGGGAUAUGACUUGUAGAAUCUAGUAUCCUUCUCCUAUCCCAUGACUAUGUGUUUCCUAUAGGGGAAAAAAAAACAAUUGAAUUUGAAAAAUCAGACUGCAAUUAAACGUGGUCACUACUGGAACUUUUGUAUAUAGGUUUGAAUUCUAUGUCUUUAGACAAUAAUCUACGUUAUUUUCAUGUUGAUUUUGUUUGGUUUGCCCCCUUACACAAAGCAAGGGUGAAAAUUACUCAAAAAUUGCGUACCUUUCGAGUUUUUAUGUAAUGUGCACUGAAAAUGAUUUCUUCUUUCUUGCCAUAUAGUUUUCAGAGUUUUAUAUUCUACCUAUGAUUUGCGUGACUUAAUUUG
rnacentral:misc_RNA from 1 species